AUUGAACGCUGGCGGAAUGCUUUACACAUGCAAGUCGAACGGCAGCACGGGUGCUUGCACCUGGUGGCGAGUGGCGAACGGGUGAGUAAUGCACCGGAACGUAUCCAAUAAUGGGGGAUAACGCACCGAAAGGUGUGCUAAUACCGCAUACGCCCUGAGGGGGAAAGCGGGGGAUCGUAAGACCUCGCGUUAAUGGAGCGGCCGAUGCCGGAUUAGCUAGUUGGUGAGGUAAAGGCUCACCAAGGCGACGAUCCGUAGCUGGUCUGAGAGGACGACCAGCCACACUGGAACUGAGACACGGUCCAGACUCCUACGGGAGGCAGCAGUGGGGAAUUUUGGACAAUGGGCGCAAGCCUGAUCCAGCCAUUCCGCGUGAGUGAAGAAGGCCUUCGGUUGUAAAGCUCUUUCGUCAAGGAAGAAACUUAUACUCCUAAUACGAGGUGAGGUUG
rnacentral:rRNA from 1 species